UACGAAGGGGGCUAGCGUUGUUCGGAAUUACUGGGCGUAAAGCGCGCGCAGGCGGUCUUCCAAGUCAGUGGUGAAAGCCCGGAGCUCAACUCCGGAACUGCCAUUGAAACUGUUAGACUUGAGGACGAGAGAGGUGAGUGGAAUUCCCAGUGUAGAGGUGGAAUUCGUAGAUAUUAUGAAGAACACCAGUGGCGAAGGCGGCGACCUGGUCCUUGACUGACGCUGAGGCGC
rnacentral:rRNA from 1 species